rnacentral:rRNA from 1 species
UACAGAGGGGGCAAGCGUUGUUCGGAAUUACUGGGCGUAAAGGGCGCGUAGGCGGCCUGUUAAGUCGAACGUGAAAUCCCCGGGCUCAACCCGGGAACUGCGUCCGAUACUGGCAGGCUUGAAUCCGGGAGAGGGAUGCGGAAUUCCUGGUGUAGCGGUGAAAUGCGCAGAUAUCAGGAGGAACACCGAUGGCGAAGGCAGGUCUCUGGGCAUUAACUGACGCUGAGGAGCGAAAGCAUGGGGAGCGAACAGG